ensembl:snRNA U1 U1 spliceosomal RNA
ACACUUACCUGGCAGGGAAAAUGCUACGAUCAGGAAGGUGGUUUUCCCCGUGUGAGGUUCAGCCCUUGCUCUCAGGGUUUGCUGACUCUUGUGAUUUAGCUCAAGUGUGAAAAAUGUGACUCCACAAUUUGUGGAAGUGGUCUU